CGAUUAUACACCAAGACAAUUUCCACGACGGGGGAGGGGAGCGCGUAGCUUUGCGCGCGAUAAUUACGAGUGUUCGUUCGCUGUGAAAUAUGUUUAACUGGCCUGGUGGUGGGUGAGAUACAAGGGGUGAAAUAAUUCCUCUCUCGAACACGCGGGAUCGCCGUCAUUCCAAAUCUCUUGUUCCCGUGCCUCGUCACGACGACGACGAUAUGAUUUCUCAGUCAAAUGACCCACAUUUGCGCAAAGAGGGAGAACGCGUAUAUACAGGGUGUUCGAAGAAAACUGGAGAUGUAAUAAUGUAUUCAAGAGAGAUGUAAGGUAUCGGUGUCUUCCUCUUCCUCCUUCGACUUCCGUCUACCCUUUUCUGGCCGAAAAAUAACUGUGUCGUUGGCUUCGGAUCGGGGCAGAGAGAAAGGGUGGCCAUUUGGGAGCAUGGAGGGAAGGAGAAAUGAAACUACGUGGCAGGGAAUUCGUACUUUUGGGAAGCCGCAAGCAAAAGGACUGGUGGGAAUAUCGGGAGAAAGGAAUAGAAAUGGGAAUUUAGUUCAAUCGAAAGGAUUCUUAUUAAUAGUGGGUCCUCCACCCAGAGAAGGGUGAAUUGCCACCAAAAUGGAAAAUUGCUGGCAAGUGGAACGCCGAGCACGCGUUUAAUUCCACGCGUUCAAUCGGUAAAACAUAAAUAUAUUUAUUAUAUAUUUUGAAUUUCCCGCCCCUAAUGGGAUACGUGAUAGAAAUUUUUGAACAUUUAUAAAAUUUGGAUCUUUUAUAUACUUACUCCUAUUACUGUUGGAAAUUUUCGAACACAUUUUAAUCACAGUAUUUCAGUUAUUCCGUACGAAAUUACCUCUUCUUUGUAAAAUAUUAAAUUGUAGCCUCUGUUAAUUUUAAGGAAACAGAUUUCAGAUUUAUUUCUAUAAAUUUUUCUAAUAUCUAUUGCAAUGAUUUUGAAUAUUAUCAAUUUUACAUGACGAAAUUUCCUAAGAGAUGUGUCUGUUCCACGUAUGGUGAUAAUGUUUAUAUUUCCCUAUAUAGUUUAUUCAGAGUACGCAAUACGUUCGACCUGAUAAUUUCAUUUCAUUUUGCCAGUACGCCAGAAUCAUGUUCGCCCAGUGUCACACGAUUGAACGAAAAGCUCGCCAACUGCUAAUAUAAGUUGGGUGUAAUUAUUCUCUCUGUGGAUGGAGAUUGAAAGGACCGUCAAAAUGAAAUUUCACAUCUAUCAUACCUAUGUAAACAACGUGUGUAUAGUGAAUUCCGCUUUCGCGACAUAUUUGCGCGCAAUAUAAUUAUACCGCUACAUUGCCCGACUGUUAGUGAUUAAUUACUAGUUACCAACUCGUUAUAUUUAAUUGUUCGUUUAUUAUUCACUGUUCUUAAACCGUUUAAAUUUUCGUAUAUACAUAUACAUAUAUAUAUAAAAUAUAUAUAUAUAUAUUAUAUACGGUAUAACUUUCGUUUAUUAAUUUAAAUCCAUUUGCAUCGCGGCCCUCCGCUAUUAAACAACCCGUGGCUCGAUAAAAUUCUCAUCGUACCGUCGAGACCUUCUGUCCAUACACGAGCCUUCAUGAAAAUUUGCCCUUCUCUCUGGAGAAACCAUCUCUCUUUCUCGAAAAAAAAAAAUCUGCAAAAUAUGAUAACAAUAUUCAAAAAUAAUGCAGCCACACAGACAGGCGCGUACACAUACACGCGUCCGUGCAACAUAUAUCAUAAAAAGUAGAAAAAAAAAAAAAAGAGUCCAUCGUGAGCGCGGAAAUAAAUGCUGGCCAGUUUGUUUUUUCCCAUGGAACGUGCCAAUAUGAAAAAAAGAGGGGGGCAGAGAGAUGGCCGGUGGCAGGAAUACUUAACUGCAUCCGUUGAAUAUUCGCAGACACACACGGAGGGUUACCCGAAUGCUCGCAUACCCGUCGCAUUCGAUAUAGAAUGCCGUGUAAUAUAUGUGCCCGUGCACACACACACACACGUGCAUACAUAUCCGGAGCUGUUCGGAAAAGGGACAGCGCACGGCUGUUUAAAUUACUAAACUUUAAACUUUCACUCACGUAUGCAAACUAAUGCAAACUGGAGGCUUGUGGAAGGAACUGCAAACAGCUCACUCGGGAGUCCCUACUACCAUCCACGCUCCCAGUCUCUCGACACCCUCUCCCCAGCCUCCCCAACCGGUGUGGUCCACCUUCUCUCCACCUUCACCCCCUUGCUUCGCCGCCCAGCCCUCCUAAAAAGCCUCUCCAACCCUCUCCUGUGCGUCUCUCCCCCCUCCCCCUUCCGGCUGAGCCUCCGUUAUCUAUAUAUCGGGUGUCCUAAUUUUCCUCCGUGUCGGGAUCGAGCUUUCAACCCUUUCCUUGCGCUCCGCUCCCAACAGAGUUCUCGCGAGCGUUCUCGCUUAAGCCAAAUGAAGAGCCGGGUAAAGCACGUCAUUAAGAACGCGGAGUGGUAUUCAUUUCUACGGCAGGCUUUAAGGCGGCAGCUGGCGGUCGUUACGAACGUCAUUAAACGGGGGGAGGAGGAGGGGGCAACGGAGGAAAGGUCAACGAUUCGCCCCGUGUCCUCGGCGUUCAACGUUAGAACGAGAAUUCCGCGAUGGAGAUGGAAACGGCGUGCGCUCGGGGGACGAUGAUGGUGGAAGGAUGCGAGCCACGAUUUCGGCCACGAUGCGAGCGGAAUUUGGUGUGUUAACGAAGGUUGUUCGCGGUGUAGUUUGAUUAAAACGUGUGUGUGUGUGUGUGUUUUUUUUUUCGGUUGAAACGCGUUACGAAUUCAGUACGUGGAGGUUGUCGGGUAAUUCGUAUAGAGAUGUUCCCUGAGAAUUUUAUGAUGUUUGUCAUGAGGUAUAUUGGAUGGCGCGUCUUUUGAUUAUAGAUUGAUUUUUGCGUUAAUUCUUCAUGAUUCGAGUAGCUUUCGUGGUAGAUUGCUCGUGGAUCGAUGAUAGAAUUUGGUGGAAUCUUUUUGUAGAAAAGGAAUUUGAAGCAAUUCCACCGAGUUUGGGUUUAAAAUUUUAUUACAUAUAUAUUUUGAUACAUAUAUAUAUAUAGGUAUUAUUUGUAUUUAUUUGAUAGAAUUUUUUCUACUGAUACUAUAAUUCUUAUAUACUCUGUUCCCAAAAGAAAUCUUCGCAUUAAUUCUUUUUAAAUAUCGAUUAGUGUUUCUAACGUAUCCUACCAUUUUGAAUAUAUUGAAAACGAUAUCGUGAUUGAAGCGAUAAAAAUACAAAACUAUAUCCCAAACCCUUAUUGUAAUGCUGCUUACGGACGUGAAAACGUAAUAAAGACUUUUUACGUACAUAUAAA